rnacentral:pre_miRNA from 1 species
GUAUGGGCCUGAUCCAAAGCCCACUGAAGUUAGUGACAGUCUUUCCAGUCACUUAAAUGGGCUUUGGAUCAGGCCCUAUGUUAC